rnacentral:rRNA from 1 species
CGGUGACUAUGGCAAGAGGGUUCCACCUGUUCCCAUUCCGAACACAGUAGUUAAGCCUCUUCGCGCCGAUGGUACUUGGUGGGUAACUGCCCGGGAAGGUAGGUCGUCGCCGGAA